GACCUGGUGGUGUAGUGGUAACACGUCUGCAUGAAGUGGCUCAUCGAUCUCUGCUUCAGUAGAGGACCCCUGUUCAACUCAGGGCUGGGUCA